AUUUAUUGUAAAUGAUUAUAAAAACUCUAAAUAAUUAUUAUGUUGUUAUUAUGAAUGAAAUUAUUAUUACGAAGUUAUUGUAGAUUUUAGUUCAUUUAGGAUUUAUUUGCAUAAUUAUUCAUCCAAAAGUACCACCCUUACCUUAUUAUUCGAAUAUAUGUGGAUAAAUAUACUUAUUACUAUGAAGACCCAAUUUUUCAGUUUGGGCUGCAUAUUAUCAACCCAAAGGGAUUUAUUUCAUUUGGGUCGUUCAUUCAACUGUGCGCCGCCGCGAUCAACCAAAUUCCGAUCAUCUUCCUUUUCCAGUCACCUCUGUAUGGAUUUAUGAAUUAACAUCAAUUGGAAGCUUGAGAGAGACUCUUUGAAACCUCAAGGUCUGGAAAUCUGCAGAGAGAGAGAGAGAGAGAGUCAAGUGGUAAAAGAAAAGAAAGAAAUUUGAUAUUAGUACUUGGACUAGAAGCAUUAGUAAUGUAUAGUAUAGGUGGGAAGUGAAAAUCUCACAGCCUACAACAUAGUUUAUGAAGCUGCAUUUUUAGCAAAUUUUAUAGACAAGAAAUUCAUCUUUGUAAAAACACUUAGAAAAGGAAGAGAAAGCAAAGUCAUGUCGUAUAUGCAGCCGCUGCCUUCGGUGCCAACUGAUUACACCUCCGUUCUUGUGCAAUAACAUGAAAGUCACAAUGAAAUUAUAUCACAUUUCGGAUAGUUUAUGUGGGUAUUUUAUUUUAUAAUAACAGACAUUGCAUGAAUUAAUUCAUUGUAUUAAGGAGAGUGAAAUUCGCAGCCGCGCAUACAAACAGUAUUCUCACAUAUUCGUGCAAGCUGCAACCUUAGAAUUCAAAGCAGUAUUUGAAUUGUUCUAUAAGUUAACUGUAAAUUGAUGUUUGCUCGAGGGAAAAAAAAAAAUCAUCACAAUCAAUUGACAGAUGUAAGAAAUUUAGGUAUCUGAAUCAACUGAUCCACUCAGCAUUAUCUGGCUUCUUGGUUUCCUUUGGAAAAAUUCUCUGCAGACAUAACAUGGUACCAUCUGUAAGGGCGACGACAGUAGGAUCUUGAUGCAUACUGAAAACCUCGCAUGGCUGGUUUUGAUGGAGACUGUGGAUGCACGAGAAAGAGGGUGAAUUCCAUCCACGAACAGCAUCUAAGUCGGCUUCCUCUUCCUCCCAAGUACAGAAGCUACUUGAAAUCUAGGUCCACCCAUCUGCCACUUCUUGAAUGCAGCUAUUGAGGAUUGACCGGCUUCAUACACUUCAAAAAUAAGUGGAGAAAAUAGGUCAUUAGGAACAGAUCCUUUAACUGGAGAACGAAAAUGAGUAAAUGAGAAUAAGGAACUUUCAAUUUUGCCGAGACAACGAAACGCAGCUCAGUUGGUAAGACGCUUCCCCUCUAAUCAAUAGGUCGGGGUUCGAGUCACCACGGGGGGAAAUGGGGAACCAUUACUGAUCCUUUUAAAUAAUAAUAAUAAUAAUCAU